rnacentral:lncRNA from 1 species
AUCUGAUGAUGGCAAUGUUGUUUAUAUUGUUGAUCCUAAGUAUGGGAAAAGUUGAACUUAUGAAUUUAAUGCUGAUUUAGAACUGUUCCUGAGCAAACUGUUCCUACAUCCUGCUUUGGCAAAUGGUAUAACAUCUAAUCCAGUCAAGUUGUGCUCAUGAUCCAUUCAACUGAUUCAAGCAAUGAAACUAUUGAACCAGAAUAAUAAGAGCAACCUGUUAUAUAAAUUUGCCCAUACCAGCCUUUUAAUAGAUACAUAUUUUAGUAGACAUUUUACAUGUAAAUAUUGGUGUAUUGGUGACAUGAAAAUGUUGCAAUGAAUCUUAAGUAUUUACUUAAUAUAUUGUAACUUUGAAUAUCAGGGGUGGAUCUACUGAGGGUAUGCAGGGGGGGGGGGUAUUUUCAUGAUAAAGCAAAAAAUAUUAGAGACAAAAUGAGUAAUUUGAGUAAUAACAUGAUGAUAAGUAAACUGUUUGUUAACAACAAUUACAAUACAGUAGUCAAGCAAGACUUUGCUGUAGUCAAGUAAGUUGAUGGGUGGGUGGCGCACAUGACUGACACAACUCGGCACCAGAGCUGGCAGAGCACCCUCCCUACCACAUCAUACUGGAUCCAUCUUUAGAUCAGUGAUCCAUCUGUGC